GGGGCCUACCAUGCAAGUCGAGCGGUAGCACAAGGGGAGCUUGCUCCCUGGGUGACGAGCGGCGGACGGGUGAGUAAUGUCUGGGAAACUGCCUGAUGGAGGGGGAUAACUACUGGAAACGGUAGCUAAUACCGCAUAACGUCUUCGGACCAAAGUGGGGGACCUUCGGGCCUCACGCCAUCAGAUGUGCCCAGAUGGGAUUAGCUAGUAGGUGGGGUAAUGGCUCACCUAGGCGACGAUCCCUAGCUGGUCUGAGAGGAUGACCAGCCACACUGGAACUGAGACACGGUCCAGACUCCUACGGGAGGCAGCAGUGGGGAAUAUUGCACAAUGGGCGCAAGCCUGAUGCAGCCAUGCCGCGUGUGUGAAGAAGGCCUUCGGGUUGUAAAGCACUUUCAGCGAGGAGGAAGGGUGAUGUCUUAAUACGGCAUCGCAUUGACGUUACUCGCAGAAGAAGCACCGGCUAACUCCGUGCCAGCAGCCGCGGUAAUACGGAGGGUGCAAGCGUUAAUCGGAAUUACUGGGCGUAAAGCGCACGCAGGCGGUUUGUUAAGUCAGAUGUGAAAUCCCCGCGCUUAACGUGGGAACUGCAUUUGAAACUGGCAAGCUAGAGUCUCGUAGAGGGGGGUAGAAUUCCAGGUGUAGCGGUGAAAUGCGUAGAGAUCUGGAGGAAUACCGGUGGCGAAGGCGGCCCCCUGGACGAAGACUGACGCUCAGGUGCGAAAGCGUGGGGAGCAAACAGGAUUAGAUACCCUGGUAGUCCACGCUGUAAACGAUGUCGAUUUGGAGGUUGUGCCCUUGAGGCGUGGCUUCCGGAGCUAACGCGUUAAAUCGACCGCCUGGGGAGUACGGCCGCAAGGUUAAAACUCAAAUGAAUUGACGGGGGCCCGCACAAGCGGUGGAGCAUGUGGUUUAAUUCGAUGCAACGCGAAGAACCUUACCUACUCUUGACAUCCAGAGAACUUUCCAGAGAUGGAUGGGUGCCUUCGGGAACUCUGAAACAGGUGCUGCAUGGCUGUCGUCACCUCGUGUUGUGAAAUGUUGGGUUAAGUCCCGCAACGAGCGCACCCUUAUCCUCC
rnacentral:rRNA from 1 species